UACUCAAACAAGGUUUCCUACUCGAAGUAGGAAAGUUAAAUCCAAAUGGCAUCAAGUUUCAGCAACAAAGAAGUUUUCCAAGUCCAAGAAGGAAAAGGAAUCCAAGAUGAAGAAGGAGAAAAAUUCCAAGUCAAGGGAGGAUUUUCACAUGUUUUCCUAAUGCUAGAAGGACUCCUAAGUGUUGUAGAACACAAAUGAGAAGUUUCUAGAGUGUUCUCCUCCUUGCCGUGAGUUUCCUACAUUUCCUAUCAGUUUUGGGGCUUUCUAGAAGCCCUAUCCCUAAUCCCUACAUUGGUGCCGCACCCUAGCUUCUACAAAUCUGAUUUCCUUGCCUUGCAAGGCUUUCUAGAAGCCUUAUCCACCUUAUCCCUAUCCAGCCGCACCUAGGAGCCUUUUUCCUUGCAAAAUCUGAUUGUUUAGACCUAUUUCCUUGUGGAUUUGGGUUAUCCAAGUCCAUAUCUGAUUACCCUAGGGUUUUAAGUGCCUAUAUAUACUCCUAUUAGCCCCUAAAUCAGAUCACCACUCACCACAAUUCACAAUUCACUCCAGAAAUUCGUCCAAACUCUCUCCACACCUUUGCCGCACCAUUCCCUUCCCCUAAACACUACUACAUCCCUCCAUAACCAUGCAUCCAUACCCCUAAGGCUCUAAACCUGUCCCUAGACCCUUGCCGCACCAAGGAGGAGGAGAAGGAAGCUCGGAAGUUCAUGCAAUUCAAGUUCGCGUCGCUGGAAUUUCUAGGUGUUUCUUUUCCUUUGAUUUCAAUGUUUAAAUUCAAUUCUCUUUGUUUUGUGCGUAUGAGGAACUAAACCCCCCUUGGCUAGGGGGGAUUCGAAAUACAUGUUUAUGCUUGCGUUAUGAUUUGAUUACUUCUAAUUGCGUUUCAUAAGUUGUGAAUUCAAUUUACUUAUCUAUUCGAAUUACAUUGAUUUAUGUGUAUUGGUUGAGAGUGCACGCUUAAUUAUCAUGCAUAAAUUGAAUGCUAGGAUAUAAGGAAAUUUCACCUAAUCGUUAUGGAAUUAUAUUCACAAGUAGUAAAGGUUGAUGAUCUCAAUCGCGUUAAGUAAAUUCUUGGCAUAAGUUUCAUGCAAUCAUAGUAACAAGUGCUUCGUCAAUGCUUAUGGUUUUCAUAGAACUUAAUGAUUCUUGCUUGUAUCUCUAUUAUGCAAUCAUGUAGGGGACUUGUGGGGAAUGUUUGGGUUGUCGUAUGCAAUCAUCCAAUUCAAUAACGUUAGGAAAAUCUGAAGGUUAAUUUAAGCGAACCUAAUUAACUUGGGGCAUUGAGAAUUCAUGGUUUAUUGAAAAGCAAUUGGAAAUCGUUUGGUAUGCAAGUAUAACAUGUGUGGAGAUGAACCCCUUAGCUAGCCUUCCAUUCACCCAUUUAAAUCAAAUUCGUUUUUACAAUCUGUUCUACUUUACAAAGUUUGUUUUGGUUUUUAAAUUCAUCCAAAACCAAUCCCCCUUUGUUUUAAAGUGUCAAAUUAGUUAGUAAGUGUUUUACUUUGUGUUUUUAAGUGUUUUGAUUCAAGUUAAAACCCAAAUUCGUCCAAUUUGGUGCUUAGUGUCCAAAACUGCCCAGAUUGUGUUUUUAAGGCAAUUUUGAGUGUUUUGGUGCUUUUUUGAGUCUUUUGGUUUGUUUUGGUGUUUUAAAGUUUAGUUUUGCAUCCUUUGAGUCUAUUUUAGUGUUUUAAACUUUUUUUUACGUUUUUGAGUCAAUUCCAAGUGAUUUGCAAUCCCUCCUAAUCCUCGGUCUAGAACGAUCCCUACUUACAU
rnacentral:lncRNA from 1 species